CCUACGGGUGGCAGCAGUGGGGAAUAUUGGACAAUGGGCGAAAGCCUGAUCCAGCCAUGCCGCGUGUGUGAAGAAGGCCUUCGGGUUGUAAAGCACUUUCAGUGGAGAAGAAAGCCUUGGGGCUAAUACCCUCGAGGAAGGACAUCACCCACAGAAGAAGCACCGGCUAACUCCGUGCCAGCAGCCGCGGUAAUACGGAGGGUGCGAGCGUUAAUCGGAAUUACUGGGCGUAAAGCGCGCGUAGGCGGUCUGAUAAGCCGGUUGUGAAAGCCCCGGGCUCAACCUGGGAACGGCAUCCGGAACUGUCAGGCUAGAGUGCAGGAGAGGAAGGUAGAAUUCCCGGUGUAGCGGUGAAAUGCGUAGAGAUCGGGAGGAAUACCAGUGGCGAAGGCGGCCUUCUGGACUGACACUGACGCUGAGGUGCGAAAGCGUGGGUAGCAAACAGGAUUAGAUACCCGAGUAGUC
rnacentral:rRNA from 1 species